AUUGAACGCUGGCGGCAGGCCUAACACAUGCAAGUCGAACGGUAACAGGAAGCAGCUUGCUGCUUUGCUGACGAGUGGCGGACGGGUGAGUAAUGUCUGGGAAACUGCCUGAUGGAGGGGGAUAACUACUGGAAACGGUAGCUAAUACCGCAUAACGUCGCAAGACCAAAGAGGGGGACCUUCGGGCCUCUUGCCAUCGGAUGCGCCCAGAUGGGAUUAGCUAGUAGGUGGGGUAACGGCUCACCUAGGCGACGAUCCCUAGCUGGUCUGAGAGGAUGACCAGCCACACUGGAACUGAGACACGGUCCAGACUCCUACGGGAGGCAGCAGUGGGGAAUAUUGCACAAUGGGCGCAAGCCUGAUGCAGCCAUGCCGCGUGUAUGAAGAAGGCCUUCGGGUUGUAAAGUACUUUCAGCGGGGAGGAAGGGAGUAAAGUUAAUACCUUUGCUCAUUGACGUUACCCUCAGAAGAAGCACCGGCUAACUCCGUG
rnacentral:rRNA from 1 species